UCCGCACUAAGUUCAUCAUCAAUAUGGUGACCUCUCGGGAGCAGGGGAUCACCAGGUUGCCUAAGGAGGAGUGAACGGUCCCAGGUCAGAAACGGAGCAGGUCAAAACUCCUGUGCUGAUCAGCAGUGGGAGAG
rnacentral:SRP_RNA from 1 species